rnacentral:lncRNA from 12 species
ACUCUAAGGAUACUGGUGAAUAUUAGCAUACUGGGCUCCAAGCUCUUAUUGCUUAUUUUCUGGAAUUGAACAUCAAUUGAUCUUCUGGAAGUGAGCCAUGCACUGGGGUGCAAUCUAGAUUAUUGAACAUGGCUGGAGGCGCCUGGAAAAGAUGAGACCAGAGGACAAAAUUCUGAACAUGGAAUUUUAGGAAGAGAGAAAUGGCUGCACAGAGUACGAUGGACUGAAAAAGGAUGGGAUGCUGGGGAUUUGGAUGCAGGAAAUGGGGACUCAGAGAAAAAGAAAGAGGAAUCUACCCACUUUUCAGUCAACUUACCCAAUGGGAGAAGACACACCUUCCCAUGUGGAUCUUGUAGAAGCUUCUGGAGGGGUCAGUCCCAGGAGUGACCCUUGCUGUGUCAGCCUUUCUAUGCAUGAUCAGUUUGCUGUGAUCUAUGGAGAACUCCCACCUCAGGAAUUUGAAGCCUGUGGAAUGACUCUGAUGGUGGAAUUUCAAGAAUCAAGGGAGGCAAGUGAAGAUGAAACUUCAAAGCAGCAAAGGUUUCUUAACACCCUUCGAUGUUUAGGACAUAAGUGA